rnacentral:rRNA from 1 species
CCUACGGGCGGCAGCAGUGGGGAAUAUUGCACAAUGGGGGAAACCCUGAUGCAGCGACGCCGCGUGAGUGAAGAAGUAUUUCGGAAUGUAAAGCUCUAUCAGCAGGGAAGAAAAUGACGGUACCUGAUUAAGAAGCACCGGCUAACUACGUGCCAGCAGCCGCGGUAAUACGUAGGGGGCAAGCGUUAGCCGGAUUUACUGGGUGGAAAGGGAGCGUAGACGGCAGGACAAGUCUGGAGUGAAAUCCCGGGGCUUAACCCCGGAACUGCUUUGGAAACUGUGCAACUAGAGUGCAGGAGAGGUAAGUGGAAUUCCUGGUGUAGCGGUGAAAUGCGUAGAUAUUUGGAGGAACACCAGUGGCGAAGGCGGCUUACUGGACUGUAACUGACGUUGAGGCUCGAAAGCGUGGGGAGCAAACAGGAUUAGAUACCCGAGUAGUC